GACGAACGCUGGCGGCGUGCCUAAUACAUGCAAGUCGAACGCAGUGGGGACGGGUGAGUAACACGUGGGUAACCUACAAUCAGAGGGGAUAACACGUGGAAACAGGUGCUAAACCGAUACUGAUGGAUGAACCCGCGGAGCAUUGGCUAGUUGGAGAGGUAACGGCUCACCAAGGCUACGAUGUAUAGGCGAGCUGCUAGUGUGUUCGGCCACAAUAGGACUGAGACACGGCCCACACUCCUACGGUAGGCAGCUGUAUGGAAGCUGCGGCAAUGGACGAAAGUCUGACCGAGCAAUGCCGCGUGAGCGAAGAAGGUUUUCGGAUCGUAAAACUCUGUUGUGAGAGAAGCGGUAUCUAACCAGAAAGCCACGGCUAACUACGUGCCAGCAGCCGCGGUAAUUC
rnacentral:rRNA from 1 species